UACGGAGGGUGCAAACGUUGCUCGGAAUCAUUGGGCGUAAAGCGUGCGUAGACGGUUAUUUAAGUCGGGUGUGAAAGCCCCGGGCUCAACCUGGGAAUUGCAUUCGAGACUGAAUAGCUAGGGUACGGUAGAGGGAAGUGGAAUUCCGCGUGUGAGCAGUGAAAUGCGUAGAUAUGCGGAGGAACACCGAUGGCGAAGGCAAUCCCCUGGACCUGUACUGACGCUCAUGCACGAAAGCGUGGGGAGCAAACAGG
rnacentral:rRNA from 1 species